UGCAAAGGCCGCUGAGAGAAUCGGAGGGGGCAGACGAGAUUAAUUUGUUUCACGCAUUGCUCGUUUUGCGUGUCAAGCAUAUCCAUAUCUUCUUUCACUAUGUGGUUGUAUGUCUGUCUUUGUACACGCGUUUCAUAUUUUCCUUUCUUUAUGAUCAGUCCUAUUUCUUUUUUGCUCCCACAGUUUGAGUCAGCGUAAAAAAAGCGCAUGGCAGCUUCGUGCGUGACAGAAAGAUGGAUGACCGAAAUAUUUCCGCACGCAACUAUUGUUUUUCCCGGGGAAGGUGAUACAAUAUGGGGACCGGACCCCUCCUCUCCCUGUUCCGAACCCCAGCAUUCCUGUGUGUGCACUUCGAGCCGGCCGCGGGAGCGAGCGAGACAGAAUGUUGCUCAAUUACAGUUUGUGUAUAGUGACCUGAGCCCUAGGACCAUGCCUCAGGACUACCUGGCCUGAUGACUCCUUACUGUCCCCAGUCCACCUGGCCGUGCUGCUGCUCCAGUUUCAACUGUUCUGCCUGCGGCUAUGGAACCCUGACCGGUUCACCGGACGUGCUACCUGUCCCAGACCUGCUGUUUUCAACUCUCUAGAGACAGCAGGAGCGGUAGAG
rnacentral:lncRNA from 1 species